GUGAGUAAUGCAUCGGAACGUGCCCGGUCGUGGGGGAUAACACUUCGAAAGAAGUGCUAAUACCGCAUACGAUCUGAGGAUGAAAGCGGGGGACCGUAAGGCCUCGCGCGAUCGGAGCGGCCGAUGUCAGAUUAGGUAGUUGGUGGGGUAAAGGCCUACCAAGCCGACGAUCUGUAGCUGGUCUGAGAGGACGACCAGCCACACUGGGACUGAGACACGGCCCAGACUCCUACGGGAGGCAGCAGUGGGGAAUUUUGGACAAUGGGCGCAAGCCUGAUCCAGCAAUGCCGCGUGCAGGAAGAAGGCCUUCGGGUUGUAAACUGCUUUUGUACGGAGCGAAAAGGCUCUCUCUAAUACAGGGGGCUCAUGACGGUACCGUAAGAAUAAGCACCGGCUA
rnacentral:rRNA from 1 species